UACGUAGGGGGCAAGCGUUGUCCGGAAUCAUUGGGCGUAAAGAGCGUGUAGGCGGUCCGUUAAGUCGGCUGUGAAAGUCCAGGGCUCAACCCUGGGAUGCCGGUCGAUACUGCCGGACUAGAGUUCGGAAGAGGCGAGUGGAAUUCCCGGUGUAGCGGUGAAAUGCGCAGAUAUCGGGGAGGAACACCUAUGGCGAAGGCAGCUCGCUGGGACGUUACUGACGCUGAGACGCGAAAGCGUGGGGAGCAAACAGG
rnacentral:rRNA from 1 species